AAGCCCAGCUUGCUGGGUGGAUUAGUGGCGAACGGGUGAGUAACACGUGAGCAACCUGCCCCUGACUCUGGGAUAACAGCCGGAAACGGUUGCUAAUACCGGAUAUGCAUCAUGGCCGCAUGGUCUGUGGUGGGAAAGAUUUUUCGGUUGGGGAUGGGCUCGCGGCCUAUCAGCUUGUUGGUGAGGUAGUGGCUCACCAAGGCGUCGACGGGUAGCCGGCCUGAGAGGGUGACCGGCCACACUGGGACUGAGACACGGCCCAGACUCCUACGGGAGGCAGCAGUGGGGAAUAUUGCACAAUGGGCGGAAGCCUGAUGCAGCAACGCCGCGUGAGGGAUGACGGCCUUCGGGUUGUAAACCUCUUUUAGCAGGGAAGAAGCGAAAGUGACGGUACCUGCAGAAAAAGCGCCGGCUAACUACGUGCCAGCAGCCGCGGUAAUACGUAGGGCGCAAGCGUUAUCCGGAAUUAUUGGGCGUAAAGAGCUCGUAGGCGGUUUGUCGCGUCUGCUGUGAAAACCCGAGGCUCAACCUCGGGCCUGCAGUGGGUACGGGCAGACUAGAGUGCGGUAGGGGAGAUUGGAAUUCCUGGUGUAGCGGUGGAAUGCGCAGAUAUCAGGAGGAACACCGAUGGCGAAGGCAGAUCUCUGGGCCGUUACUGACGCUGAGGAGCGAAAGGGUGGGGAGCAAACAGGCUUAGAUACCCUGGUAGUCCACCCCGUAAACGUUGGGAACUAGUUGUGGGGGCCUUUCCACGGUCUCCGUGACGCAGCUAACGCAUUAAGUUCCCCGCCUGGGGAGUACGGCCGCAAGG
rnacentral:rRNA from 1 species